AAACGGAGGCUACUGAGCAUUUUGUCCGUCAACACCCACAUGCUUGCACCUCAGGACUAUGCCACUCUGGGACUCACACCAACUCCCACUUGGCACCUUGAUGACAAUCAACAGCUGCAGUCAGUUGGAUCCCCUGGGGUCUCUGGAUGUGCGUUGCGGCCCCCCUCAGAGCAUAACCAUGCUAGUGGAGGACAUAAGCAUGAUGAACGGGCAUGCAGAGGUCGAACAUGACCAGCAAAAUACCCUUUCUGAGUC